UUAGAGUUUGAUCCUGGCUCAGGACGAACGCUGGCGGCGUGCCUAAUACAUGCAAGUCGAACGCGUCUUGGUUAAUGAUGUUAGGUGCUUGCAUUUAACUGAUUUAACAUUGAGACGAGUGGCGAACUGGUGAGUAACACGUGGGUAACCUGCCCUGAAGUGGGGGAUAACACUUGGAAACAGGUGCUAAUACCGCAUAACAACGAAAACCACAUGGUUUUCGUUUGAAAGAUGGCUUCGGCUGUCACUUUUGGAUGGACCCGCGGCGUAUUAGCUUGUUGGCGAGGUAACGGCUCACCAAGGCCAUGAUACGUAGCCGACCUGAGAGGGUAAUCGGCCACAUUGGGACUGAGACACGGCCCAAACUCCUACGGGAGGCAGCAGUAGGGAAUCUUCCACAAUGGACGAAAGUCUGAUGGAGCAACGCCGCGUGAGUGAUGAAGGGUUUCGGCUCGUAAAACUCUGUUGUUGAAGAAGAACAGGUGAUAGAGUAACUGUUAUCAUCUUGACGGUAUCCAACCAGAAAGCCACGGCUAACUACGUGCCAGCAGCCGCGGUAAUACGUAGGUGGCAAGCGUUGUCCGGAUUUAUUGGGCGUAAAGCGAGCGCAGGCGGUUUUUUAGGUCUGAUGUGAAAGCCUUCGGCUUAACCGGAGAAGGGCAUCGGAAACCGGGAGACUUGAGUGCAGAAGAGGACAGUGGAACUCCAUGUGUAGCGGUGAAAUGCGUAGAUAUAUGGAAGAACACCAGUGGCGAAGGCGGCUGUCUGGUCUGUAACUGACGCUGAGGCUCGAAAGCAUGGGUAGCGAACAGGAUUAGAUACCCUGGUAGUCCAUGCCGUAAACGAUGAGUGCUAAGUGUUUGGAGGGUUUCCGCCCUUCAGUGCUGCAGCUAACGCAUUAAGCACUCCGCCUUGGGGAGUACGACCGCAAGGUUGAACUCCAAAAGGAAUUGGACGNGGGCCCGCACAAGCGGUGGAGCAUGUGGGUUUAAUUCGAUGCUACGCGAAGAACCUUACCAGGUCUUGACAUCUUCUGCUAACCUAAGAGAUUUGGCGUUCCCUUCGGGGACAGAAUGACAGGUGGUGCAUGGUUGUCGUCAGCUCCUGGUCGUGAAAUGUUGGGUUAAGU
rnacentral:rRNA from 1 species